CGCGUCGAUGUCAUCUGCCGCACGUCCAGCCCAGCCACACGCAUCAGAUCUGUUUGGUGUCGUAAGUUCUAGCCGCUGCGUGCUGAGCCGUUCGUUUAGGUCGCUGUUCGAGCCAGUCUUCAGCCUGAUGUCGAUGGUCUAGCCUCAGCCCUUCGCAUGUCGUCUCACCCUCGUCUUCCUCUUCCUUGCCGUCAGUCCCGCCACAUCGUCUAACCUGUUCUACCGUAGAUCUCUUUGUCGCCGAUUUUGGGUUGUCAUCUGGCCACCAUUCAACCCACCUACACUUCUCAGAAAUCUUUAUUUUGGAAUUUCAGUUGAUGUAGAACUAGUUUGCUGUUUAGCGGGUCAAUUUUUGGUGUUUUCGACACAGUUUGGGUAAGCAUUUGGGCAUUUAGAAUUUUAGGGUUUUCAUCAAAGGUUGUUAUAAAUUAGGUAUUGUUUUUGUGUUAAGAACGUUAUUUCAGGUUGUCGUUGGUGUUUGAUUGCUUAAGUUAAUUUUGGAACUUCGAUUUGAGGUAAGUAAUAUUACUACUGGAACCGUCCUAGGACCAGACAAUGAUAAUUAUGAUUUAUUGAGGAUUAUUGGUUAGCAUGAUGUUUAUGUAUGUCUUCAUUGACCAAGGUUUGAAAAGACUAGAGCCAGGUAUUGAUAAUUAUGGUUUAUUGAGGAUUAUUAGUUAGUAUGAUGUUUAUGUAUGCCUUCAUUGAUUGAAGUUUGAAAAGACUAAAUGCACAUAAAUAUGUUUGAUUGCUAGCAUGAUUAAAGUAUAUUUUAUUUUAUGAGAUUAUGCUUGAUUUGAGGUUGAUGAGUUUUACGUACAUGUAUGUUUUAGAACCAUGUUAUGAUACUUGUGAUGUUGAGAUCGCGAUGGUGUCCUCACUGAUUAGUUAGAUACCCACUGGAGGUUGUGUGUCCUUCGGGAUUUACUAGAGGUGGUGUUGGGAUUGGUGUCCUAAUUUUUCCAGUGGUCUCGUAGUUUGUAAACUUUAUGUAUACACAUUGUUAUUAAUAAAAUAAGUGUUAUUUUAUAUGCA